UAUAGGUAGCCUAUAGUAGGGUGGUAGGGUAAUAUAGGGUAGAAUAGACUUCUAGAGACCUAUAAUCGACAGAUCCUAGAAUAGUGCGCUGCUAUUCCUUUACUCCUAUUCACGUCUCUUCCUUCCUUCGCUCCAAUGCUUCCUUCGUUAUCUUCUCUUGUCACGAUUACACGAGGAAGAGAGUACACAGCGCCACGUAACACGAAUUUGAAAACGAAAAGAGGCGAUAGGCAAUAUAUGUAGACGACAGCAUAUAUGGAAAUGGAUUAUGCUUUGUGACAAAAGCAAUCGACCAAAUUUCUACUUUUUAAUAACGCAGCAAAUAUCACAGGCUGCAUUUAAAAUCUCUAUGUAUUGUAGUAUAUAAUAUAAUUUACUUUGAUAUAUUA